UGUUUACAAAUUCAUACGCUCACUGCUGCUAUCAACACCAAUGGCUAUAAUCAAGUUGCUUCAAAAACACAUCGUCAAUCGCAUAUCUAGCGUACUAUG